AGAAUGAUUGAAGAUGUGAACAGAAGUGAGACAACCGAUGACGGGCUAAGACAAUCGUCUGAUGACCCGUCGAAAGGAUCAGAAGGUCAGACUCCUCCUGGAGAAUCAAGGACACCACCACGGUCAGUCACACCUUAGUAAUUGAAUUGAAGUGCAACAAGAAAACAAAACAGGGGAAAGCAGCUUUAAUUGUUUGUGUUUGUGUUUACUUUUUUUUCUUUAAAACUCCUCAAAAGGAGAUAAAGAAAGGGAUGAGAUAGUGUGUGAGAUGUCUUUGUUGGGUGUGUGAUGGUAAAGCAAAGAAAAAAGACUGGACCAUCUCUGUGUUUGGUUGGACCAACUUCUUCUACAAGAUGGUAUCUCCCAUCUAUUUUUUUUUAGUCUUUCGAGAUAUUCUAGUGGUUAUUAUUUUUUUUCUUGAAUAUUGUGUUUACAUUACAGGUUUAAAUGAAAGUUCAGUCUAACUUCGUUGGAGUUUUAUGACAUUUUUACUAUACCCACUUCAAUCAAAGAUUUUAUAAAAGCUCACUCUUUGUAUGGUUUUUAGUUUCUUGGAAAGGUCUUAACUUUGAUUUAAUUAAUUAUUAUGAACUCUUAUGAAUGGUUUUUGUUUUACUCCUCCAGUAUUGAACCUCAUUAGGGUUCUUAAAAAUAAAACUCAUAAUAAUAAUCCAAAAUUCGUAUUCAAUCAUGGUUAACUGCAACAACAGAGACUGCUUAUUGAAUAAGUUUAUCUUAAUUUCGAUUACAAUUACAAAACCCUAAUUUUCAUAACUCAAUCAAUCCUAAUUUUGUACUUCUAAACAUCUAAUUUAACAAGAUCGAGAAAGAAUAUUAACUAGAUUCUUACAUUCAUGAAGAGAUUGGAGAAGCUAAAUCAAAUUCGGAUCCGAUUUUGACUUCAGUUGAUCCGAUGUCGUGAAACAAACUCGCCACUUAACCCAACUUAGCCGACGUUUUACAACCACUGUAGAGAUGCUGAGACGGUGAAACGGCGAACAACUAGCCCUCAUCCAUCGUUCAUCGGCGGUGGCGGAGCUGAUCUACUGAGCCAAAAUCGCCUUUUCAGUCACCCACCGAAAAAAACAAAGAAGAAGAAGAAAUGUCGUGAGAGAGAGAAAGUCGAUCAGUGUUGAUUUUUUUUUUUUAGCUCUACAGUUCACACCCAAUUAGAAUGUGCCACGUCAUCCCGACGAACCGCUCCUUAAACUCCUUAUUUGUGAAACGCCUCUUACUUUAAUCUUUCUUUUUUAUUUAAAUUAAUU
rnacentral:lncRNA from 1 species